rnacentral:rRNA from 1 species
UUUUAUCAGGAAAGAAUAAUGACGGUACUGAUGAUAGCACCGGCUACUCGUGCAGCAGCGCGUAAUACGGAGGGUGCAGCGUUACUCGGAAUCACUGGGCGUAAAGGACGCGUAGGCGGAUUAUCAAGUCUUUGUGAAAUCUAGUGGCUUAACCACUAAACUGCUUAGGAAACUGAUAGUCUAGAGUAGGGGAGAGGUAGAUGGAAUUCUUGGUGUAGGGGUAAAAUCCGUAGAGAUCAAGAAGAAUACCCAUUGCGAAAGCGAUCUGCUGGAACCUAACUGACGCUGAGGCGUGAAAGCGUGGGUAGCAAACAGGAUUAGAUACCCUGGUAGUCCACGCCCUAAACGAUGUAUACUAGUUGUUGCUUUGCUAGUCAAGGCAGUAAUGCAGCUAACGCAUUAAGUAUACCGCCUGGGGAGUACGGUCGCAAGAUUAAAACUCAAAGGAAUAGACGGGGACCCGCACAAGCGGUGGAGCAUGUGGUUUAAUUCGAAGAUACGCGAAGAACCUUACCUGGACUUGACAUCCUAAAAACAUCUAAGAGAUUAGAAAGUGCUAGUUUACUAGAAUUUAGUGACAGGUGCUGCACGGCUGUCGUCAGCUCGUGUCGUGAGAUGUUGGGUUAAGUCCCGCAACGAGCGCAACCCACGUGUUUAGUUGCUAACAGCUCGGCUGAGCACUCUAAACAGACUGCCUUCGUAAGGAGGAGGAAGGUGUGGACGACGUCAAGUCAUCAUGGCCCUUAUGUCCAGGGCGACACACGUGCUACAAUGACAUAUACAGUAAGAUGCAAUAUCGCAAGAUGGAGCAAAUCUAUAAAAUAUGUCCCAGUUCGGAUUGGGGUCUGCAACUCGACCCCAUGAAGCCGGAAUCGCUAGUAAUCGUAGAUCAGCCAUGCUACGGUGAAUACGUUCCCGGGUCUUGUACUCACCGCCCGUCACACCAUGGAAGUUGAUCUCACUCGAAGCAGGGAUGCUAAA